rnacentral:rRNA from 1 species
GACGAACGCUGGCGGCGUGCCUAAUACAUGCAAGUACGACGCAGUUGCGAACGGGAGAGUAACGCGUAGGUAACUACCUAUUAGAGGGGGAUAACUAUUGGAAACGAUAGCUAAUACCGCAUACUAGUAGAACGACUUUCGUUUUAUUCGCUAGUAGGUAGGGUAAUGGCCUACCUAGCCAACGAUGCAUAGCCGACAAGAGGUGGGUAUCGGCCACACUGGGAAGUGGACAAGGCCCAGACUUCUACGGGAGGCAGCAGUAUGGUAUCUUCGGCAAUGGGGGGAACCCUGACCGAGCAACGGAGGGUGAGUGAAGAAGGUUUUCGGGUCGUAAAGCUCUGUUGUUAAGGGAGGGGUACGUAACCAGAAAGGGACGGCUAACUACGUGCCAGCAGGCGCGGUAAUAC